GACGAACGCUGGCGGCAUGCCUAAUACAUGCAAGUCGAACGCUGAAGCACUCUGCUUGCAGAGUGCGGAUGAGUGGCGAACGGGUGAGUAACACGUGGGAAAUCUGCCUAUAAGAGGGGGAUAACAUUCGGAAACGGAUGCUAAUACCGCAUAUAUUCUUGGACCGCCUGGUCCUUGAAAGAAAGACGGCUUUGCUGUCGCUUAUAGAUGAUCCCGCGGCGUAUUAGUUAGUUGGUGGGGUAAAGGCCUACCAAGACAAUGAUACGUAGCCGACCUGAGAGGGUGAUCGGCCACACUGGGACUGAGACACGGCCCAGACUCCUACGGGAGGCAGCAGUAGGGAAUCUUCCACAAUGGGCGAAAGCCUGAUGGAGCAAUGCCGCGUGAAUGAAGAAGGUCUUCGGAUCGUAAAGUUCUGUUAUUAGAGAAGAACAAGUAAAGGAGUAACUGUCUUGACUUUGACGGUACCUAACCAGAAAGUCACGGCUAACUACGUG
rnacentral:rRNA from 1 species